rnacentral:rRNA from 1 species
GGCCUACCAUGGUGGUAACGGGUAACGGGGUGUUAGGGCACGACACCGGAGAGGGAGCCUGAGAAACGGCUACCACAUCCAAGGAUGGCAGCAGGCGCGCAAAUUACCCAAUCCCGACACGGGGAGGUAGUGACAAUAAAUAACAAUACGGGGCUCUUUUGGGUCUCGUAAUUGGAAUGAGUACAAUUUAAAUCUCUUAACGAGGAACAAUUGGAGGGCAAGUCUGGUGCCAGCAGCCGCGGUAAUUCCAGCUCCAAUAGCGUAUAUUAAAGUUGUUGCAGUUAAAAAGCUCGUAGUUGAAUUUCGGGGUCAGCAGGUUGGUCGUGCCACUGGUAUGCACUGGCUUCGCUGAUUCCUCCUUUCUGAAGAACUGUAAUGCCAUUAAUUUGGUGUUGCAGGGAAACAGGACUGUUACUUUGAAAAAAUUAGAGUGUUUAAAGCAGGCUAACGCUUGAAUACAUUAGCAUGGAAUAAUGAAAUAGGACGUUUGAUCCUAUUUUGUUGGUUUCUAGGAUUGAUGUAAUGAUUAAUAGGGAUAGUUGGGGGCAUUAGUAUUCAAUUGUCAGAGGUGAAAUUCUUGGAUUUAUUGAAGACUAACUACUGCGAAAGCAUUUGCCAAGGAUGUUUUCAUUAAUCAAGAACGAAAGUUAGGGGAUCGAAGACGAUCAGAUACCGUCGUAGUCUUAACCAUAAACUAUGCCGACUAGGGAUCGGAUGAUGUUAAUUUUUUAAUGACUCAUUCGGCGCCUUACG